ensembl:lncRNA
ACCCUACGAGGUCCAGAGCCAUCUGGUUUUCUGUUCUAGCUGAUAAUGAAUUGCACACACCUGGUGUCCCAGGUCUACAUCAGUCCCUGAUUAGAGGGGAACAAUGAAAAUAAGGAGUUGCUUCGAGGUCCAGAGUUGAGUUUGAGGGCUCUAGGCGAUGUGAUAUGUUUCUCUUCUCAUGAAUGAACAAUCAAUUUCACAUGUAGAAAAAAUGUGUGUAAUCUAGAACCCAGACUAGUGUUUCUCAAUCUGUGGUUCAUGGACAGGCUGGUGUUCCAGACUCAUUUAGUCAGCUCUUGAGGACGAUGUCCUACAGCUGCCAUGUCCUAAAGCUACUGCAGUAACGCUGACCCCCUUUCACCCAGCCAAUGAGAAGCCGUGCCCAUCUGGCGUGGUAAACAUCAUCAUCAUUAGCAUCUUGACCAUCCUGCUGUGUGUCAUCUUCCUCAUCUGGGUUGCUCCACUGGUGAAGAGGUGCUGUAAACAGGGAGGAUCCACACCCCAGGUCAUUCCUGAGAGUGUCUAUGAAGACAUGGCCCGGAAUCACACUUCUCCACCUGACACACAGGUAGAAUCGAACCCCUAUUCUGUGUCUUCCAAAAGAGGAAGUAGGACCACUGAGUAGCUUCUUCAAAUGUUUUUUCUGAGUAUUGCUUCUUUACUUUCUCAGAAUUGAAACAUUGGACAUUUUCCACAUGUGACGCACACAUACAAAUAAAAGUAAAGGCUCAACGCUCGCUCACCAUUUAUUUAUUUAUUUUUCUCAAUAAAUAAGACAACUAUAGUGCUUUUCACUUUGGCACUAAAUGUCCAAUUUUGGGCCGCCAGUUGAAUAUCCUUGUUUUAGUCCAUAAGGUGUACAGUUGAUAGCGAUGGAGGCCUACCUAUACCUUUUUUUCAAACAUCAGGUCAUAAGAUUUACAUUGGUUUUUAGUUUGAAACAGUGCUGUGGUGAGUAAUGUUUUUAGGUCACUGUCACUGGACCACUCAGGAAGAUGUUCCAGUGCAUGGGGUCUGCCACACAGUCAGAAGAGCUAACGUUAAAAUGAGAACAGUUUGUUAAGACCUUUAUUAUAUUUGAUCACAGGUACAAAUAUUUUAGCUGCCUAAAUUUGAUCAGGUACAUCGGGAUAUAAGCCUACGAGUCAGUUUCAACUUCCUAAAAAUUAUUUCCACUUUGAAUACCAGUUCACGUGUAAAAUAUGAUUUGGGGUGAGAAACAUAUUCACACUGUUUAUUGCCUUUUAAUCAAAAUAUUGAUACAUAAUUAAUAGUCAUGUGAUAUUCAACUUGUGUAUUCAUGUUUAUGUUGUAUUUGUAUACAGUUGAAGUUAGAAGUUUACAUACUCUUAUGUUGGAAUGAUUAAAACUCAUUUUUCAACCACUCCACAAAUUUCUUGUUAACAAACGAUAGAUUUGGCAAGUCGGUUAGGACAUCUACUUUGCGCAUGACACAAUUAAUUUUUCCAACAAUUGUUUUACAGACAGGUUAUUUCACUUAUAAUUCACGGUAUCACAAUUCCAUUGGGUCAGAAGUUUACAUACACUUAGUUGACUGUGCCUUUAAACAGCUUGGAAAAUUCCAGAAAAUAUCAUGGCUUUAGAAGCUUCUGAUAGGCUAAUUGACAUCAUUUGAGUCAAUUGGAAGUGUACCUGUCGAUGUAUUUCAAGGCCUACCUUCAAACUCA